GGAGAAAAGCAGGGGAUCGCAAGACCUUGCGCUUUUGGAGUGGCCGAUGCCUGAUUAGCUAGUUGGUGGGGUAAGAGCCUACCAAGGCGACGAUCAGUAGUUGGUCUGAGAGGACGACCAGCCACACUGGGACUGAGACACGGCCCAGACUCCUACGGGAGGCAGCAGUGGGGAAUUUUGGACAAUGGGUGAAAGCCUGAUCCAGCAAUGCCGCGUGAGUGAAGAAGGCCUUCGGGUUGUAAAGCUCUUUCAGUCGAGAAGAAAAGGCCGCGACUAAUAAUCGCGACUCAUGACGGUGUCGACAGAAGAAGCACCGGCUAACUACGUGCCAGCAGCCGCGGUAAUACGUAGGGUGCGAGCGUUAAUCGGAAUUACUGGGCGUAAAGGGUGCGCAGGCGGCUUUGUAAGUCAGAUGUGAAAUCCCCGGGCUUAACCUGGGAAUUGCGUUUGAAACUACAAAGCUAA
rnacentral:rRNA from 1 species